rnacentral:rRNA from 1 species
AGUGAACGCUGGCGGUAGGCCUAACACAUGCAAGUCGAACGGCAGCACAGUAAGAGCUUGCUCUUACGGGUGGCGAGUGGCGGACGGGUGAGGAAUACAUCGGAAUCUACUUUUUCGUGGGGGAUAACGUAGGGAAACUUACGCUAAUACCGCAUACGACCUACGGGUGAAAGCAGGGGAUCUUCGGACCUUGCGCGAUUGAAUGAGCCGAUGUCGGAUUAGCUAGUUGGCGGGGUAAAGGCCCACCAAGGCGACGAUCCGUAGCUGGUCUGAGAGGAUGGCCAGCCACACUGGAACUGAGACACGGUCCAGACUCCUACGGGGGGCCGCAGUGGGGAAUAUUGGCCAAUGGGCGCAAGCCUGAUCCAGCCAUACCGAGUGGGUGAAGAAGGCCUUCGGGUUGUAAAGCCCUUUUGUUGGGAAAGAAAAGCAGCAGGUUAAUACCCCGCUGUUCUGACGGUACCCAACGAAUAAGCACCGGCUAACUUCGUG